AAGCAUCAAGUGGAUAAGGGGCCAGUGGACAGUGUGACAGGCAAGGCCAAAUACACCUUGAACGACAACCGCCUGCUCAGAGAGGAUGUGGAGUACCGUCCCCUGACCUUGAAUGCACUAUUGGCUGUGGGGCCUGGGGCAGGAGAGGCCCAGGGCGUGCCCGUGAAGGUUCUAGACUGUGACACCAUCUCCCAGGCAAAGGAGAAGAUGCUAGACCAGCUUUAUAAAGGAGUGCCUCUCACCCAGCGGCCAGACCCUCGCACACUUGAUGUUGGUGAGGGCGUGGAGAGCCCCUGGGGACCUGAGCCAAUGUUGGGCCUGGGCUGGCCCUGGACCAGCUCUACAGGGACAGCUCAUCACUCAGGGUGGGGAGGAUGCUGGGAGGCAGGCAGAAACUGGCUUUGGAACAUCUUUGUUGGACAGCCUCUCAUCUGGGGAGGGGUCCCUGCUCUUGGUCUUUGGAGAGGUUGAGUAAGGCUGCCCCAUGAUGGAGGGGCUGGUGUCCCUGUGGAAGAGGAUAUGGGCUCCACUAGGGGAAGGGUAUCCUCCAGCCCUGCACCCAGUUCUGCCUUGCCCUUGCAGAGUGGCGGUCUGGGGUGGCUGGGCACCUCAUUCUUUCUGACGAGGAUGUCACUUCUGAGGUCCAGGGUCUGUGGAGGCGCCUGAACACACUGCAACAUUACAAGGUAGGAGGGGUGGGAGCUGGAGGAGGGCAUGGUGGGGUGGGACUGGUGGAGGGAUCACCAGCUGUGCUCAGCAGGUCCCAGAUGGAGCAACUGUGGCCCUCGUCCCCUGCCUCACCAAGCAUGUGCUCCGGGAAAACCAGGAUUAUGUCCCUGGAGAGCGGACCCCAAUGCUGGAGGAUGUAGAUGAGGGGGGCAUCCGGCCCUGGCACCUGGUGAAGCCAA
rnacentral:sRNA from 1 species